rnacentral:rRNA from 1 species
UACGUAGGGUGCAAGCGUUGUCCGGAAUUAUUGGGCGUAAAGAGCUCGUAGGCGGUCUGUCGCGUCGGCUGUGAAAACCCGAGGCUCAACCUCGGGCCUGCAGUCGAUACGGGCAAACUGGAGUGUUGCAGGGGAGACUGGAAUUCCUGGUGUAGCGGUGAAAUGCGCAGAUAUCAGGAGGAACACCGGUGGCGAAGGCGGGUCUCUGGGCAACAACUGACGCUGGAGGAGCGAAAGCGUGGGGAGCGAACAG